AGACCCGAAACCCGGUGAUCUAGCCAUGGGCAGGUUGAAGGUUGGGUAACACUAACUGGAGGACCGAACCGACUAAUGUUGAAAAAUUAGCGGAUGACCUGUGGCUGGGGGUGAAAGGCCAAUCAAACCGGGAGAUAGCUGGUUCUCCCCGAAAGCUAUUUAGGUAGCGCCUCGUGAAUUCAUCUCCGGGGGUAGAGCACUGUUUCGGCCAGGGGGCCAUCCCGGCUUACCAAUCCGAUGCAAACUGCGAAUACCGGAGAAUGUUAUCACGGGAGACACACGGCGGGUGCUAACGUCCGUCGUGAAGAGGGAAACAACCCAGACCGCCAGCUAAGGUCCCAAAGUCAUGGUUAAGUGGGAAACGAUGUGGGAAGGCCCAGACAGCCAGGAUGUUGGCUUAGAAGCAGCCAUCAUUUAAAGAAAGCGUAAUAGCUCACUGGUCGAGUCGGCCUGCGCGGAAGAUGUAACGGGGCUAAACCAUGCACCGAAGCUGCGGCAGCGAACGUAUCACCCAAGACAACUUUACACAGUUGACGCCUGACGGAGCGAAGCGACGUCAAAGCGUUUUACAACGUCGAGUUGGCUUAGGGAUACGUUCGUUGGGUAGGGGAGCGUUCUGUAAG
rnacentral:rRNA from 1 species